CAUUUUGGUCUGAUUUUUCAUGCUCCAUUUGUUUGCAUUCUUAUUUCUGAAUGGGACGGAGUAACUAUAUCAUUAUAUCCUAUUCAUGGAGUUUUAUAAGCAUCUUAACCUCUUCUACUUGGGUUCCUCUUCUUAUUCACUUCUAUAGAUAUGUACUACUUUCUCUCUAUUAUAAUUUGGGAUUGAUUUUUUUUUUCUUUCAUUUGGUGCAUCAUUUGCAGAUAUUGGAAGGACUUCUUAAAUUACCAAGGAACAGGGAGUGUGCUGACUGCAAAAGCAAGAGCAAGUAGUGGGCACAUGUCAGUUACGGAUACUUCACAAAAUGAGACAUUGGAGGUUGGACCUGGGAAUUUGAAGAUGUCCUUUUCAUCAACAUCUGGACAACUGAAACGUAUGACGAAUUAUAGAACAUGGGUGAAAGAUUUAGAUGUAGAACUUGAAAGUACUAAGCAGAAAAGUAAACAAAACCUGCAACAAGCCAUUUUAAUUGAAAGGGAAAGAGUUACUCAAAUGCAGUGGGAUAUGGAAGAACUUCGUAGGAAGUAUUUGGAGAUGGAGUCGAAGCUAAAGUUCGAACAUGUUCCUUUUUUUAUAAUUCUUAUGAUAGGUUGAGCAAAGUGAAGUAUUGUUUAUUUAGAAAUGUGAAUGUAGGAUGCAUUAUAUGAUUUGAUUGCUAUUUGUAAUAAAUGCAUCAUUUUUUUCCUG